rnacentral:rRNA from 1 species
UGGGGAAUAUUGGACAAUGGGCGAAAGACUGAUCCAGCCAUGCCGCGUGUGUGAAGAAGGCCGUCGGAUUGUAAAGCACUUUAAGUUGGGAGGAAGGGCAGUAAAUUAAUACUUUGCUGUUUUGAAGUUACCGACAGAAUAAGCACCGGCUAAAUCUGUGCCAGCAGCCGCGGUAAUACAGAGGGUGCAAGCGUUAAUCGGAAUUACUGGGCGUAAAGCGCGCGUAGGUGGUUCGUUAAGUUGGAUGUGAAAUCCCCCGGCUCAACCUGGGAACUGCAUUCAAAACUGACGAGCUAGAGUAUGGUAGAGGGUGGUGGAAUUUCCUGUGUAGCGGUGAAAUGCGUAGAUAUAGGAAGGAACACCAGUGGCGAAGGCGACCACCUGGACUGAUACUGACACUGAGGUGCGAAAGCGUGGGGAGCAAACA